CUACGGGGGGCUCCAGUGGGGAAUAUUGCACAAUGGAGGAAACUCUGAUGCAGCAACGCCGCGUGGAGGAUGACACUUUUCGGAGCGUAAACUCCUUUUAUAUAGGAAGAAGAUGACGGUACUAUAUGAAUAAGCGCCGGCUAACUCCGUGCCAGCAGCCGCGGUAAUACGGCGGGCGCAAGUGUUACUCGGAAUCACUGGGCGUAAAGGGCGUGUAGGCGGAUUAAAAAGUCAGAAGUGAAAUCCUAUAGCUUAACUAUAGAACUGCUUCUGAAACUCUUAAUCUAGAAUAUGGGAGAGGUAGAUGGAAUUUCUGGUGUAGGGGUAAUAUCCGUAGAGAUCAGAAGGAAUACCGAUUGCGAAGGCGAUCUACUAGAACAUUAUUGACGCUGAGACGCGAAAGCGUGGGGAGCAAACAGGAUUAGAUACCCGGGUAGUC
rnacentral:rRNA from 1 species